AAGAAAAAGCACGGAAGAGGCGAAGGGAUGUUCAGAGGCAGUUCAGCCCCGAUCGUUCUUCUUCGUUUGCUUCUGGACACGAGUUAAUAUGGCAAAGGAGGACUACCGGAGCUCAAUGAAACCCGCAGAAUUUUUGUCGUCAUUUAUGAGGAUGUGUUUGUAUCGUAUGGUGUACGUGUAAACAGCUUCAACGAAUUUCCUCCGGGUUGAUUGGGAGAAAUAGCGACAUUUAGGAGGUGGUAGAUGGAUUUUUUCAUGAUGGCUGUUCUUUAUGGAAAGAGUAAAUCGAUUCUAUUCUCAUUAUUAUUUCCAUGUUAUCCACUGUUAUUUGUACGAAAAGGUGAAUGCUGAUUGCUUGAAUGAAACUUCGAGAAGAAUCGGCUUGGGAAUUGGAGAUACUGUCGUUGGAAGAGUUCAAGCUUUAUCAGCAUUAUUUUGCAUACAUGAAGCAUAUUGUGCAGGUAAUUAGCUUGUGAUUGAACAAUGUUCUGUGCAAUUUUAUCAAGCCCUUCGAAAAGGAAUUACGAUUGUAUUAGUCAUCCAAAAUUAAUAUAAUUAACUGUUGAUGUUUCAAAAAGAUUUGUAUAGCAUGUAUCAUAUGUUAAUAAAAAUUUUCUAUGGUAAUCGCGAGUCUAACUGUACGUGAGGUAAAUUCGAAGCAAUACGUACAAAUUUGAAGAUUCCACUGGAAAUAGUAGUGAUAAGUCUUGAUUUUUCUCGGGUCAGCCUAAACGAAGGAGGAAACGCAUAUUAUGGAGAGGGGUGAAUGAAUCAGAAACGUAAACCAUAUUUCCAGUCACUUUUUUUGUCCCUUUAAUUAUUUAAUUAUACGCGUGUAUUAAAUUUACAUUCACUUUAAGAAUAACGUUCAGGUUACAGACAAUGUACAGUAACAUAAUACUAGUUCCUAUUCAAAUUGUAGAAUACUCCAGAAAAUAAUAACUAGGUCCAUAAAACUCUAAAAAGAGAUAACAAAAUAUGUUCUGCUAAUAAAAAAAGAAAAAGGAAAAUUAUUAUAGUCGCGACACAAUUAUUUCUAGUUUCACAAGGUAAGAAUUCUCUAUUUCAAUUUGGCAACUUUUCAUUUCAUCUCAAAUACGAAAUUAAUUUGUAAAUAUUAUUAGGUCAUCCCAUAGGUAAUGCGUUUUUUAUGUAUUUAUGUUGAAAAAAUAAAUGAAAAGUUUGCUAGCAAUAAGUAAACUCGAUUGGUUUUUCGAAAAUUUAUAAAUAAUGAUUUGAAUCAAUUUAAAAUAAUUUUAGAAAAUUAAAUUUAACUAUAUUAAAAAAGUUCGGUUUGUUGCACUUUACUCUGUGCAAGAAACGAAUAUAUUAUUUUAAAAUAAAUCUUUGUUGCUAGGUUGUUAGGACUUAGCCAAAAUUUUUUCAGGUACUCGACAAUCUAACAAUGGAAUGACGAUUUAGUUUUGUUAUAGACAAUGAAGACGAUUGUUGCAACGCAGAAACGUUCAAGUUUUAUUUCAUCUCUUUUCUCUUUGGACUAAUCUCGUGGACUCUCGAUUCACGUAUACGAAGCCAAUGAAAUUUUCUUUAUUUACACUGAAUACGCAGGUGGAUGUACAUUAAAGUACCCAGAAGGAACGUUAUGGUACAACGUUAUUCGUCGGCCUUUUUGUUAAUCGAACAAAUAGAUCUUUAUGAACAGAAAUCAUUUAAGGUUAUACAAUUAUCUACGAAGGCAUAAAUCAAUAAUUAGACUAAUUAGCGACGACAUAAAAUUCUGAAAAGAUCGUAGGAAAGUAUUUUUUACUACUGAUAAAAUAGAAAUUAAUUUGUGAAAAGUAAUUAGUGAGGUAGAUCGUUAUAGAUUAUCGCAUAAAUUGAUACACCAAAUUUCUACUAUAGUGAUUCAUAUAACUGUGUUUAUCUUCCGUUUAUUAUCACGCUUAUCUCUUCAAACGGCAAAAUUUAUUCAUUAAAAAUGAAUUAUAAAAUUGUUACUUGUAAUAAUCACUGCUUCCAUGUAUCAUGUUUCGUAUCAUUCAUAAUUAAAUAUUAUCGAUUCAAGUGAAUACAAACUGUUGAAGUGGUUACAUAACCUCAACACAAACAGUUCUUCUUUUUUUAGAAUUAUUGACUGAACUCUCUUGUGCGCAAUUGAAUAACAUUAUUAAUGAAAUUUUAUAAUUCACAAGUUACAGAUUAGCAGUUACAGGUUAGCAAUUGACUUUCUUACAUAAUUGGGCCAAGUUUGAUAGCAAAGCAAAUGGAAUUUUACAAAUGAAUUUAUAUAAAAAACAUAUAUAACAAAUAACAUGUAAAUCAUUCGAUUAAUCUAUUUAAUGUAAAAUUGUACAUUUAUAAAGAAGAAAUCUAUAACUCACAACUUGUCAUUCGUCAGUUCACUACUACUAAUUAAUAAAUUAUGCAAAAGGGGCCAUAUUAUGGCCAUUAAAAAAUUUAAUAAUGCGUUAACAGAAAUAAUAUCAAACAGCAUUAUUUACAUAUGAUCGCACAACGAUCCACAAAUCUUCUCGAAUCUUUACAAAAUUCAAGGAACUUACUGAAAUAUCUCCGUGAAAACCAAAUAGCACAGUAAAAAUGUUAAAAUCGAUCCAUAAGAAAAAUUGAAAAAUAUGAUAAAUCCAUUUUUGUUUCUGACAAUUAUGUCACUUGAUGUCUGAAGAAAAAUGUUUUAAUAUGAAACAAUUGAGGAAGAGAAUAAUCUUACAGAUUUGAAAAUAUAAGAUUUUGUAAAGUAAGUAAUAAAUAUCCAUAAAUUGUCUUCUAACAAACGAAUAAUAUGACGUAGAAUUCGUUGCCGAUGUAUUUGUAAUUGUCUAAUACUAUUAAGCGCAGUUUUACCUGAAAGACCAA